rnacentral:misc_RNA from 1 species
CAGAGUUCAUGCCCGAAAGGGUAGACCUCCCACCCUUGUGUAUUAUUACUUUGUUGCUUUGGCGGGUCGCGCGUGUUUUAUCCGCGCGCUCGCCAAAGGAUAUCAAAACUCUUUUUAUUAGUGUCGUCUGAGUACUAUAUAAUAGUUA